rnacentral:ncRNA from 1 species
UGAAAUAUAUCGGGAGAGACUGCAGGCAUAGCCGUAGCAGCGCCGAAGGAGCAACCACCCCGGAAACUCUCAGGCAAAUGGACCGAUUAUUGAAU